rnacentral:lncRNA from 1 species
AGCUGGUUGCCAGGGCUCUAACCUCCUCCCUGUAGCUGGUUGCCAGGGCUCUAACCUCCUCCCUGUAGCUGGUUGCCAGGGCUCUAACCUCCUCCCUGUAGCUGGUUGCCAGGGCUCUAACCUCCUCCCUGUAGCUGGUUGCCAGCGCUAUAACCUCCUCCCUGGACUUCCAAACUUAAUGACGGUGUUGGAGUGGCAGAUGUGUUGUUACCUACCCUCACCACCAGGGGGCAGCCCAUCAGGAAGUCCAGGAUCCAGUUAUAGAGGGAGGUGCUCAUACCAAGGGCCUUCAGCUUUAGUGUCAAGCUUGGAGUGGACAACAUCCUCACACAGGUGUUCCUCGUGUCCAGGUGGGAGAGGCCUGUGUCCAUCGUGUCUGAAUGAAUGUUUUUGCACCUCUAUGUUGUACCAGAAAAUGACCCAUCGGGUAAUUUGUCAUGUUCAGUGAUUAGUAAUGUUUUGAGCUAGUCUAUAUAUAAAAUGGACACAUCUAAUUUAAUGUGAUAAAAUAAUGAACAGAUUGCAUUUUGCACCCCGUACCGCCGUCACCUCAAAAUGAAUGGUUCUGAUUACUCAAAAGUCUAGUUGUUUCUUUGCUUGCGCUCCACUGCGUUGGCCCAGUGCGUUGGCCCAGUGUGUUGGGGCCCACUGCGUUGGCCCAGUGCGUUGGCCCAGUGUGUUGGGGCCCAGUGUGUUGGGGCCCAGUGUGUUGGGGCCCAGUGUGUUGGCCCAGUGUGUUAGCCCAGUGUGUUGGGGCCCAGUGUGUUGGCCCAGUGCGUUGGCCCAGUCCGUUGGCCCAGUGUGUUAGCCCAUGUGUUAGCCCAGUGUGUUGGGGCCCAGUGUGUUGGCCCAGUGCGUUGGCCCAGUCCGUUGGCCCAGUGUGUUGGGGCCCAGUGCGUUGGCCCAGUCCGUUGGCCCAGUCCGUUGGCCCAGUGCAUUGGCCCAGUGCGUUGGGGCCCAGUGCGUUGGGGCCCAGUGUGUUGGCCCAGUGUGUUGGGGCCCAGUGUGUUGGGGCCCAGUGUGUUGGCCCAGUGUGUUGGCCCAGUGUGUUGGGGCCCAGUGUGUUGGGGCCCAGUGUGUUGGCCCAGUGUGUUGGGGCCCAGUGUGUUGGGGCCCAGUGUUUAGAAGGCACUAGUUUCACCACUGGUGUUUAGAUGAAAAGGCUCCUGCUAAAGACAAUGUUUAUCUACUUUAUUGUGCUGUUACAUUUGUAUCGUUGUUUUAAUGUUCGAUGGUGUCGGUCCGAUGCUGCUGAUCCAAUGGUGUUGAUCCGAUGCUGUCGAUCCAAUGGUGUCGAUCCGAUGCUGUUGAUCCAAUGCUGCUGAUCCAAUGCUGUCGAUCCAAUGGUGUUGAUCCGAUGCUGCUGAUCCAAUGGUGUUGAUCCGAUGCUGUUGAUCCGAUGCUGUUGAUCCGAUGCUGCUGAUCCAAUGGUGUUGAUCCGAUGCUGCUGAUCCAAUGCUGUUGAUCCGAUGCUGCCGAUCCAAUGCUGCUGAUCCAAUGGUGUUGAUCCGAUGCUGCUGAUCCAAUGGUGUUGAUCCGAUGCUGUCGAUCCAAUGCUGCUGAUCCAAUGGUGUUGAUCCGAUGCUGUCGAUCCAAUGGUGUUGAUCCGAUGCUGUAGUUAAAUAUCAUUGAGCUGCGUGCACCACAAGCUGUUUACAGGCAUUGAACACCAUUCGGCAUUUUGCCGUCUAUUUUCCAACUUCAAAUCGGUUAAAUCACAUUGUUAAAAUGUUUUCAUUCAGUUACAAAAGUAACAGUCCUGGCCCAUAUGAUAGUGUGCGGUGGCCACAUCAAGGUUACAAUGUAGCCAAGCUGUGUCUGUAUGCCCUAUGGUCCAAAUGAAAAAGCACAGGACGUGCGUCUGGAUAAAACAGCUCUGCCUGGCAACACGAGGGGCUAAAGGGGGAUGAUCCCUCAGCUGAAACUUGAUCCCUCUCAGCUGAAACUUGAUCCCUCUCAGCUGAAACUUGAUCCCUCUCAGCUGAAACUUGAUCCCUCUCAGCUGAAACUUGAUCCCUCUCAGCUGAAACUUGAUCCCUCUCAGUUGAUCCCCCUCAGUUUACAUUGUUUGGAAACUGAUAUGUGAUAAGUAUUAAUGCAAAAAUAACAUGCAAAACAGGCAACACAAAAUAAAAUAAUAUAAAAAAAUAAAUAAUAAUAAAAAAGAAUUUCUGGCCAGAAAUCUUUGGGUCAAAUACUUAUUUCCCUCAUUAAAAUGCAAAUCAUUUUAUAACAUGCGUUUUUCUGGAUAUUUUCAUUGUUAUUCUGUCUCUCACUGUUCAAAUAAACCUACCAUUAAAAUUAUAGACUGAUCAUUUCUUUGUCAGUGGGCAAUUAUCUACAUAAUUUUUCUGCCUUUUGAUGCUAUCUAUUUUGUGAAGUGCACCAGUCCCUCCUGCAGCAAAGCACCCCCACAACAUGAUGCUGCCACCCCCGUGCUUCACGGU